UACGAAGGGUGCAAACGUUGCUCGGAAUUAUUGGGCGUAAAGCGCACGUAGGCGGCAUUGCAAGUCGGAUGUGAAAUCUUAUGGCUUAACCAUAAAAGUGCAUCCGGAACUGCAGUGCUUGAGUACUUAAGAGGAUCGCGGAAUUCCCGGUGUAGAGGUGAAAUUCGUAGAUAUCGGGAGGAACACCAGUGGCGAAGGCGGCGAUCUGGGAAGAUACUGACGCUGAGGUGCGAAAGCGUGGGGAGCAAACAGG
rnacentral:rRNA from 1 species